rnacentral:sRNA from 1 species
AAUACGCACGUGUAGUUUGUGGAGAGC